rnacentral:rRNA from 1 species
AGAGUUUGAUCAUGGCUCAGGACAAACGCUAACGGUGUGCUUAACACAUGCAAGUCGAACGUGCGAUGAGAAAGUGGCAACACUUUUUCAAAGCAAGUGGCGAACGGGUGAGUAACGCGUAGGCAAUCUGCCUUGGAGAUUGGGACAACCAUUCGAAAGAAUGGCUAAUACCGGAUACCUUAUAUUAAUCGCAUGAUUUUUAUAAUAAAGGGGGCUUCGGCUCCCGCUUCAAGAUGAGCCUGCGUCCUAUUAGCUUGUUGGUGAGGUAACUGCUCACCAAGGCAAUGAUGGGUAGCCGGCCUGAGAGGGUGAUCGGCCACAUUGGGACUGAGAUACGGCCCAGACUCCUACGGGAGGCAGCAGUGGGGAAUAUUGCGCAAUGGGCGAAAGCCUGACGCAGCGACACCGUGUGAAGGAUGAAGGCCUUCGGGUCGUAAACUUCUGUCAAUUGGGGACGAAGGUAAUGAGGUUAAUACCCUUUAUUACUGACGGUACCCAAUAAGGAAGUCUCGGCUAACUCCGUGCCAGCAGCCGCGGUAAGACGGAGGAGGCAAGCGUUGUCCGGAAUCAUUGGGCGUAAAGAGCGCGUAGGCUGUCUUUCAAGUCAUAUGUGAAAAUCUCAGGCUUAACUUGAGAAUUGCAUAUGAAACUGAUUGACUUGAGUGCAGUAGGGGAAAGUGGAAUUCCUGGUGUAGCGGUGAAAUGCGCAGAUAUCAGGAAGAACACCAGUAGCGAAGGCGGCUUUCUGGGCUGCUACUGACGCUGAGGCGCGAAAGCUAGGGGAGCGAACAGGAUUAGAUACCCUAGUAGUCC